CCGUAGGAGAUGCAAAGCACAUCUUUCCCUUGCCGGGGCCUGUAAUUGGUGACCUUUCCUGCUACGGGUUCUCCUUUUGGGGUUUUUAAUCGACAAUCCUUCCUGUAAUUGAAGCUGAGUGGAACAAAUGACGCCUGAGUUUGUCUUAAAGGCUGAAACACAAGGCCUAGCGAAGACCGUGGGAAAGAGGAAAGGGCAGCAUUCCAAGCAACGAAAGUAAACACGGAGCAUUCAGAUAUUUCCAAGGACUUGGUGUGACCUGAACUAAGGUGACAAAAGGUUCAGUGGUGGGAAAAGAGGCGAGAUUGUCGACAGUUUAUCGAGUGAUCCCGGAUUUUCCCUCCCGAAAAUAAUCGGCUGCCUCAGAUAGGAGAAUAAGCAGGUUUUUCCUCUAGAAGGAGCAUUCGGGAAGCAUUAUAAGACAUGGUUUGGAAGCGGGAGAAAAUGGAGUCAGCGAGGUGGACUAUAAAACUAUCGAAGAGAUUGGAGCAGGACGGAGAAAUAGUGGCAGACACCGUGAAAGCCUCUCUCAAGACCCCGCCUGCACAGAAAGACUUGUCUGAUU